GGGAAAGUGGCUCUGUGAUAGAGUGCUUGCUUUGCAUGCAUGAGGCCCUGGGUUCGAUUCCCCAGCACCA
rnacentral:tRNA from 1 species